UUAGCAGGACCCCACCCUUCUACUCAGGACUUGUCUUCAUGUCUUUUGAUCAGUCUCCCUGGGCGUAUCCAGUCAUCCUAUCCAUUGGAAGGUUCAUUCCAGCAGCAAGCUCUUUCAGACUCUUGGCUGAAACCAAGAUCUGCUCCCUCAGCAGCCCAACUGAGCUGGGUCUUCUCCUUUCAACUGUCUUCUCCACUUCUGACAUCAUCUGGAGGGUCACGAGAUAGCUGGCCCUGCAUCCAACCUGUCUGUAACAGGUUCUGCUAAGGAGGAUGAGCCAACGCAGAUGGCCCAUUGAGUAAAUUGUCUGAGUGGCUGGGUAGCAGGAGCAGCUUUUCUCUUCAACCAUUGACGCUAGAAAUAUACUAGAAAGAAAGCUGAAUUUCUCAAGUAAUCACAGGACUCAAGGAGAUGGGGCUUUAAAGAAAACACUAAAUACUGUGAGAUGAGUGAUCAAGGAAAAGUUGGCAACACUGGGUUCUACCAUAAUAAUGGAC